rnacentral:lncRNA from 1 species
AUGGGUCUUGUGUUGUCUGAUUCCUACCAUCUAAAGUUAUCACCUGGUGUUAAUAUGGGUCUUGUGUUGUCUGAUUCCUACCAUCUAAAGUUAUCACCUGGUAUUAAUAUGGGUCUUGUGUUGUCUGAUUCCUACCAUCUAAAGUUAUCACCUGGUAUUAAUAUGAGUCUUGUGUUGUCUGAUUCCUACCAUCUAUCUGGCCCCAGUGUCCACAUUGUGUCUCCUAUCUGGCUCGUCUCCACAUUGUGUCUCCUAUCUGGCUCGUCUCCACAUUGUGUCUCCUAUCUGGCUCGUCUCCACAUUGUGUCUCCUAUCUGGCCCCAGUGUCCACAUUGUGUCUCCUAUCAGGCCCCAGUGUCCACAUUGUGUCUCCUAUCUGGCUCGUCUCCACUUUGUGUCUCCUAUCUGGCCCCAGUCUCCACAUUGUGUCUCCUAUCUGGCCCCAGUGUCCACAUUGUGUCUCCUAUCUGGCCCCAGUCUCCACAUUGUGUCUCCUAUCUGGCCCCAGUGUCCACAUUGUGUCUCCUAUCAGGCCCCAGUGUCCACAUUGUGUCUCCUAUCUGGCUCGUCUCCACAUUUUCUCCUAUCUGGCCCCAGUCUCCACAUUGUGUCUCCUAUCAGGCCCCAGUGUCCACAUUGUGUCUCCUAUCUGGCUCGUCUCCACAUUUUCUCCUAUCUGGCCCCAGUGUCCACAUUGUGUCUCCUAUCAGGCCCGAGUCUCCACAUUGUGUCUCCUAUCAGGCCCCAGUGUCCACAUUGUGUCUCCUAUCAGGCCCCAGUCUCCACAUUGUGUCUCUUAUCUGGCUCGUCUCCACAUUGUGUCUCUUAUCUGGCUCGUCUCCACAUUGUGUCUCCUAUCUGGCCCCAGUGUCCACAUUGUGUCUCCUAUCUGGCCCCAUUCCUCACAUUGUGUCUCCUAUCUGGCUUGUCUCCACAUUGUGUCUCCUAUCUGGUUCGUCUCCACAUUGUGUCUCCUAUCUGGCUCGUCUCCACAUUGUGUCUCCUAUCUGGCUCCAGUCUCCACAUUGUGUCUCCUAUCUGGCCCCAGUCUCCACAUUGUGUCUCCUAUCUGGCUCGUCUCCACAUUGUGUCUCCUAUCAGGCCCCAGAGUCCACGUUGUGUCUCCUAUCUGGCUCCAGUCUCCACAUUGUGUCUCCUAUCUGGCCCCAGUCUCCACAUUGUGUCUCCUAUCUGGUUCGUCUCCACAUUGUGUCUCCUAUCUGGCUCGUCUCCACAUUGUGUCUCCUAUCUGGCUCGUCUCCACAUUGUGUCUCCUAUCUGGCUCGUCUCCACAGUGUGUCUCCUAUCUGGCUCGUCUCCACAUUGUUUCUCCUAUCUGGCUCCAGUCUCCACAUUGUGUCUCCUAUCUGGCUCCAGUGUCCACAUUGUGUCUCCUAUCUGGCUCCAGUGUCCACAUUGUGUCUCCUAUCUGGCCCCAGUGUCCACAUUGUGUCUCCUAUCUGGCUCCAGUCUCCACAUUUUGUCUCCUAUCUGGCCCCUGUGUCCACAUUGUGUCUUCUAUCUGGCUCCAGUCUCCACAUUGUGUCUCCUAUCUGGCUCCAGUGUCCACAUUGUGUCUCCUAUCUGGCCCCAGUCUCCACAUUCUGUCUCCUAUCUGGCUCGUCUCCACAUUGUGUCUCCUAUCUGGCUCCAGUCUCCACAUUGUGUCUCCUAUCUGGUCCCAGUCUCCACAUUGUGUCUCCUAUCUGGCAAGUCUCCACAUUGUUUCUUCUAUCUGGCUCCAGUGUCCACAUUGUGUCUCCUAUCUGGCUCCAGUCUCCACAUUGUGUCUCCUAUCUGGCUCGUCUCCACAUUGUGUCUCCUAUCAGGCCCCAGUGUCCACAUUGUGUCUCCUAUCUGGCUCCAGUGUCCACAUUGUGUCUACUAUCUGGCCCCAGUGUCCACAUUGUGUCUCCUAUCUGGCUCCAGUCUCCACAUUGUGUCUCCUAUCUGGCUCCAGUGUCCACAUUGUGUCUACUAUCUGGCCCCAGUGUCCACAUUGUGUCUCCUAUCUGGCUCCAGUCUCCACAUUGUGUCUCCUAUCUGGCCCCAGUGUCCACAUUGUGUCUCCUAUCUGGCUCCUAUCUGUGCUAUAUUCAAUGUGCUGUGUUGAGUGUGACACCUUACCUAGAUCUCUCUUACCAUCAGAAUGCAUUGACACCUUACCUAGAUCUCUCUUACCAUCAGAAUGCAUUGACACCUUACCUAGAUCUCUCUUACCAUCAGAAUGCAUUGACACCUUACCUAGAUCUCUCUUACCAUCAGAAUGCAUUGACACCUUACCUAGAUCUCUCUUACCAUCAGAAUGCAUUGACAUCUUACCUAGAUCUCUCUUACCAUCAGAAUGCAUUGACACCUUACAAAACAAGAACAUAUAUUUUCUGGGUAAAUGAGACGGACUCAAAACAAGAACAUAUAUUUUCUGGGUAA